GUCGUACGCUUCUUUUUCCACCGGAGCUUGCUCCACCGGAAAAAGAAGAGUGGCGAACGGGUGAGUAACACGUGGGUAACCUGCCCAUCAGAAGGGGAUAACACUUGGAAACAGGUGCUAAUACCGUAUAACAAUCGAAACCGCAUGGUUUUGAUUUGAAAGGCGCUUUCGGGUGUCGCUGAUGGAUGGACCCGCGGUGCAUUAGCUAGUUGGUGAGGUAACGGCUCACCAAGGCCACGAUGCAUAGCCGACCUGAGAGGGUGAUCGGCCACAUUGGGACUGAGACACGGCCCAAACUCCUACGGGAGGCAGCAGUAGGGAAUCUUCGGCAAUGGACGAAAGUCUGACCGAGCAACGCCGCGUGAGUGAAGAAGGUUUUCGGAUCGUAAAACUCUGUUGUUAGAGAAGAACAAGGAUGAGAGUAACUGUUCAUCCCUUGACGGUAUCUAACCAGAAAGCCACGGCUAACUACGUGCCAGCAGCCGCGGUAAUACGUAGGUGGCAAGCGUUGUCCGGAUUUAUUGGGCGUAAAGCGAGCGCAGGCGGUUUCUUAAGUCUGAUGUGAAAGCCCCCGGCUCAACCGGGGAGGGUCAUUGGAAACUGGGAGACUUGAGUGCAGAAGAGGAGAGUGGAAUUCCAUGUGUAGCGGUGAAAUGCGUAGAUAUAUGGAGGAACACCAGUGGCGAAGGCGGCUCUCUGGUCUGUAACUGACGCUGAGGCUCGAAAGCGUGGGGAGCAAACAGGAUUAGAUACCCUGGUAGUCCACGCCGUAAACGAUGAGUGCUAAGUGUUGGAGGGUUUCCGCCCUUCAGUGCUGCAGCUAACGCAUUAAGCACUCCGCCUGGGGAGUAC
rnacentral:rRNA from 1 species